rnacentral:rRNA from 1 species
UACGAAGGGGGCGAGCGUUGUUCGGAUUUACUGGGCGUAAAGGGCGCGCAGGCGGCUCAUUUUGUCAGGCGUGAAAGCCCCGGGCUUAACCUGGGAACUGCAUCCGAUACGGCGGGACUGGAGUGUGGGAGAGGUUGGUGGAAUUCCCAGUGUAGAGGUGAAAUUCGUAGAUAUUGGGAAGAACACCGGUGGCGAAGGCGGCCAACUGGACCACAACUGACGCUGAGGCGCGAAAGCGUGGGGAGCAAACAGG